rnacentral:misc_RNA from 1 species
GAUGAAGAACGUAGCGAAAUGCGAUAAGUAAUGUGAAUUGCAGAAUUCAGUGAAUCAUCGAAUCUUUGAACGCACCUUGCGCUCCUUGGUAUUCCGAGGAGCAUGCCUGUUUGAGUGUCAUGAAAUUCUCAACCUUUUCAGCUUUCUUUGUUGAUCAGGCUUGGAUGUGGGAGUAUGCGGGCUUCUCAGAAGUCGGCUCUCCUGAAAUGCAUUAGCGGGACCUUUGUUGCCUGGCUUUGGUGUGAUAAUUAUCUACGCCAUUGUAGUCAAGCAGCUUAAAAUGAGGUUUCGGCUUCUAACCGUCUCACCUGGGACAAUUUUUUGACAAUUUGACCUCAAAUCAGGUAGGACUACCCGCUGAACUUAAGCAUAUCAAUGAGCGGAGGA